CCCAGGUGUGUCCCCAAUGUCCCAGGUGUGUCCCAGGUGUGUCCCAGGUGUGUUUCAGUGUCCCAGGUGUGUCCCAGGUGUGUUUCAGUGUCCCAGGGGUGUCCCCAAUGUCCCCAGGUGUGUCCCAGGUGUGUCCCAGGUGUGUCCCCAAUGUCCC